GAGACGUUUCUCUGAGCUGCAGUUCCUCUGAGCUCCACAAGGUUGUGAUCUUCACAGCUACCCAGACAGGAAGCCUCUAUGGAAGACAGGAAGUGAUGUCAGGCAUCGGCAGGAAGGCUCUAUGGAAAAAAGGGACAAGAGUGACGUCAGGCACAGAGAGAAAGUAGAGAAGAGACGUUGCUGGAACCUGCAGCAGAGGAGGAAACCUGCAUAGAUCACAUGACCAAUGAGGAUGGAGGAGGACCGAAGUCACGUGACUGAGAAGAUAUUAAAACUCACCCUGGAGAUCAUCUACCUGCUGACCGGAGAGAGAUUUCCUCUUGUGAAGUCAGGUGAUCAUAUGACCAUC